UGCGCAGGCGGUUCGUUGUGUCUGCUGUGAAAGCCCCGGGCUCAACCUGGGAAUGGCAGUGGAAACUGGCGAGCUGGAGUGUGGCAGAGGGGGGUGGAAUUCCGCGUGUAGCAGUGAAAUGCGUAGAGAUGCGGAGGAACACCGAUGGCGAAGGCAGCCCCCUGGGCUGACACUGACGCUCAGGCACGAAAGCGUGGGAGCAAACA
rnacentral:rRNA from 1 species